rnacentral:lncRNA from 1 species
UGUUGAUAACAGAAAUUUGAUGCUCCAAAUCAUCUGAUCACUACUGCUCCAAACAAUGCGCUUCCAGAAACUUUUGUUUCCCAUUUGAGAACACGAAGAGCUUAGCCGCACAAAGUGAGUUCGUCUCCGGUGGUUUCAUUCUUGACAUACAAGCAUUUCCCUGACAUAUUUAACUUCCAGUGCAAUGCAAAGUGGGUUCAAAUGGGAACAUGGAAAAUAAUGAAAUGGCAGAUAUGAGAAACUUCAUCGGGUCUCUAUCUAGAAAAUGAUGAUGUUGCUUUGAGGAGAAACAAAUAAACGAACCCAGUAGUAUCUACUUCCAUUUUACAUAGCCACAUGGUCAUGUACCUCCUUGUUUUAUAUAGACUAAAUAGUAUCUAAAUACUCUAAAUAUAACACAAUAGUUGGCAUCAUCGUAAAUGACUCGCAAGCAAAGAUAUCAAGAGCCCCCACCCUUUAAGGAAUGGUAGCUUCACCACCUGAGCAGAGCAGCACUAUAAAGUCCUAUUUCUUAUAAACUAAUGUGUCAAGUUACAUUCUAUAAUUUUUUUUAGAAUGAAGGUAUUAUUUCCUCAUCAUGGUUUUCAUCAUGUUUUACUUGCACACGCUAUUAUAGGUCAUAACACAAUCUUCUAUAUAGUAUAUUCAGCAAUUCAAAAAUACAAUAUAUGGAGGUAAUCACAACACAAUAGCUCUUUCGACAUCUAACUCAGCUAAGAAUUCACAGUUAUGUACAUACAAAUGCAUUCAGUUAACAAUUUAAAAAGUAACUCAACUUUCUAGUGACUCCAAACAAAAUACAACCAGAAUUAUUCGACUAACCUGGCUUGAAGAAACUACUAUGCAAUUGGUGCUUAGUUGCUAACCACAUCAUCUGCUAUCAAAUCAUAAGGUUCAAAAGUGAAGCACAAUUAAUCAGAGUAUAUCAGCGACCACCAUUGGUGAUGGCACAUAAGAUCAGAAUAUCACUUCGUUUCCAUGUAGAGUUAUUCAAGCCUUUUUAAAUCAGAAAGCUGGCAAUUCAUGGAAAGUAUUUUACUUAAUGAAAUCAAAUACCAGAAAAAAAUGAUUUGCCCAUACAAAGGCUUCACAGAAGAUAUUAAAUCUCUCAUCCAAUCUAACUAACCCUUAUUAAGAUCCGAGCAAAAAACAAUUAUUUAUCUAGCCGAUACAGCAAAUUAGCCAUAAGGCUCACAAAGUAAACCCUCUAUGGACAAUAUAUAAUGUUUUUGAGGAUUAAACAUCAUAAAAAGCGAAACUUCAUAAUAUAAGAAUAUUAUCCCUCCGCCCAAUUAAAAAAUGCAAUAUUCCAUCUCCAAAUUUAACAUCAUAAAAAGCGAAACUUACAUCGGUAAAAUAAAAAAGAAAGCAAGAACCCAA